CCUACGGGUGGCAGCAGUGAGGAAUAUUGGUCAAUGGGCGCUAGCCUGACCCAGCCAAGUCGCGUGAAGGAUGACUGCCCUAUGGGUUUUAAGCUUCUUUUAUAGGGAAAUAAAGUGCAGUAUGUAUACUGCUUUGCAUGUACCUUAUGAAUAAGGAUCGGCUAACUCCGUGCCAGCAGCCACGGUAAUACGGAGGAGCCGAGCGUUAUCCGGAUUUAGUGGGUUUAAAGGGAGCGUAGGCGGGUUGUUAAGUCAGUGGUGAAAGUUUGCGGCUCAACCGUAAAAUUGCAGUUGCGACUGGUAGCCUUGAGUACAGUAGAGGUAGGCGGAAUUCGUGGUGUAGCGGUGAAAUGCUUAGAUAUCACGAAGAACUCCGAUUGCGAAGGCAGCUGGCUGGACUGUAACUGACGCUGAUGCUCGAAAGUGUGGGGAUCAAACAGGAUUAGAUACCCUUGUAGUC
rnacentral:rRNA from 1 species